AAAGACUCAAUUUCUGGGUUUCCGUGUCUAAUGUUUAACCAUCCGUCUUAUUUGAAAAAAUUAUGAAAAAAUUUAAAAAUAUAAGUCACACAUAAAAUAUUAAUCAUGUUUUAUCAUCUAACAACAACGAAAAUACUAAUCAUAAAAAAAAUUCAUAUAAGACGGAUAGUCAAACGUUGAACAUAAAAAGACUGAGU
rnacentral:pre_miRNA from 1 species